AUAGUAUAUUUUUUAGUACUCAUCUUCCCUCCAUUUUUUUCCUAAAUAUAUGUUCCCUCCAAAGAAUAUUUUAUUUCUCUUUGGAAUCAAUUUACUUGAUUCUUCCUCUCGCCAAAGACCAUGAUUAGGGCAAAAUUUUCAGCCGAAUAAGAUUUGGCCCUAGCAAGCUAAACAAUUCCAUCCGCCCAAGGUCUAACAGACAUAGAUUCUUUCUCUAUCAAUGUUGCCGUCUAUUUUUUCGUAGAAGAUGACCUACAAUUCAGAAAUGCAAUUUCUCAUAUUGAAUAGCUGCUUGAUAUGGACUUCACUAUAGAAGGAUGGACUUUGAAGAAUUCUGCAUAGCUGUCUUAGAGUGUUCAUCAGCUAGAUUAUACAAAAUAUUUUGUACCUGUUCAAAGAUUCGUUGGUGGCUUCCUUCUUUUAAAGAGGAAAUCACUACAUAUGUACCUUAUAAAUGAAUCAUGGAUGUUAAUUUCGUCAAGGCUAUGGAUGUUUUUUGGAACUGAGUUUCAAACAUGCUUGGUGCAUACUGACAACUGGUUGAGAGUUUUUGGGGGUAUAAGUCCGGUGUAGCUCCUCAAAGGUAGGUUGGUUCAGAGCUAUAAAAUAUUGAGUUGUGAGUUGAUUAUCUUAUCAUUUUGGUGCACAAAUGGAUGUUCAAGCUGGAAUUUCUUAUGGAAGACUUUCAUUAUGAUCAAGAGUUGAAGAGAUACUUGUUAGACUUGAAAUUACAUUGGAUUCAA